rnacentral:rRNA from 1 species
GUGGGGAAUCUUGCGCAAUGGGCGAAAGCCUGACGCAGCCAUGCCGCGUGAAUGAUGAAGGUCUUAGGAUUGUAAAAUUCUUUCACCGGGGACGAUAAUGACGGUACCCGGAGAAGAAGCUCCGGCUAACUUCGUGCCAGCAGCCGCGGUAAUACGAAGGGGGCUAGCGUUGCUCGGAAUUACUGGGCGUAAAGGGCGCGUAGGCGGACAGCUUAGUCAGAGGUGAAAGCCCAGGGCUCAACCUUGGAAUUGCCUUUGAUACUGGCUGUCUUGAGUUUGGGAGAGGUGAGGGGAACUCAGAGUGUAGAGGUGAAAUUCGUAGAUAUUCGGAAGAACACCAGUGGCGAAGGCGACUCACUGGCCCAAUACUGAUGCUGAGGCGCGAAAGCGUGGGGAGCAAACAGGAUUAGAUACCCGAGUAGUCC